rnacentral:rRNA from 1 species
UACGUAGGUGGCUAGCGUUGUCCGGAUUUACUGGGCGUAAAGAGCGCGCAGGCGGUCGUUCAAGUCGAGUGUGAAAGCCCCCGGCUCAACUGGGGAGGGUCACUCGAUACUGAUCGACUCGAAGGCAGGAGAGGGAAGCGGAAUUCCCGGUGUAGUGGUGAAAUUCGUAGAUAUCGGGAGGAACACCAGUGGCGAAGGCGGCGAUCUGGGAAGAGUACUGACGCUGAGGUGCGAAAGCGUGGGGAGCAAACAGG